UUCGCAAUGCCCGAAAGGGUGACGAAGCGACGCCGCGUGGGUGAGGAAGGCCUUCGGGUUGUAAAACCCUGUCAGGAGUUAAGAAAUGUAAGUUCGUUAAUACCGUACUUAUUUGACAAAGGCCCCAAAGGAAGCCACGGCUAACUCUGUGCCAGCAGCCGCGGUAAUACAGAGGUGGCAAGCGUUGUUCGGUAUUAUUGGGCGUAAAGAGCACGUAGGUGGUUUUGUAAGUCAGAUGUGAAAGCCUUCUGUUCAAAGGAAGAACGGCAUCUGAAACUGCGAAUCUUGAGUGUAGGAGGGGAGAGUGGAACUUCUGGUGGAGCGGUGAAAUGCGUAGAUAUCAGAAGGAACGUCGGCGGCGAAAGCGACUCUCUGGCCUAUUACUGACACUGAGUGUGCGAAAGCUAGGGGAGCAAACGGGAUUAGAUACCCCGGUAGUCCUAGCCGUAAACGAUGGGCACUAAGUAGAGGGGUUUU
rnacentral:rRNA from 2 species